CACUUUGUGGGAAACGCCUCAUUGAGGUCGAACUGAGGCAGCUAGAGGAGUCCAGGAGAUAAGGUAAGGGAAUGGAAAGAAAAAAAUAAAAUAUGCCGUUUCAGUGGUGGGGCUGACCAGAACACGUAUUGGUCGCGUUUAGCCCUGCAGGAUAGCGCGUGCUGGGGGUAAAACAUGCAUAAUCCUAACUUGCUUACUCCGUUGCAACUCUUAUGACACGAAUUACUUGAUUACACCUGCCUGGCUGGUUCAAUUUUGGUAUUAUAUUUGCCCCCGCUUGCUUUGAUCUAGAUUCACUUUGUUGAUAUUGAAUUGGUCUUAAUGUUAACAUCAACAAUGGUUAUUCGAGUUUCAUAUUACUUUAGACAUAAUGUGCUUCAACUACGGCAUUUUGUAUUUUCCUUUUAAAUUUAUAUGGAACAUCGGAAACCCAGCCAUGGCGGCAGUGGCGUAGUACUUCACCUAACUCCCCUACGCCAUGUCUCAGCAAAACAAAGCGGAUGGAUCCGUGAUCCACAUUGAACAUAUAAACCCUGCUGGGGUGCUAGGCAGACUCGCGCUAUCCACGUAGGCUGUGAAUAGUUCAGCGACGCGAGACUCGGCGGCAGCGAGCGAAAGAAAAAGCAGCGAAGGCGGCAGCGAGCGAAAGAAAAAGGCAGCCCGCGUAACCCUAGCCGCCGCCCCCUCCUCCUCCUCCCACCUCACCCCUCCCCCCAGGGCGCCUCCUCCCCCUAGCCGCCGCCCCCUCCUCCUCCUCCCACCUCUGCCCCCCCGCAUCUCGUCCGCCCCGGGUGCGGAGGCGAGCUUCCCGACAACGGCGGCGACUUCAAUCUGCAGGAGAGAGAGGGAGGUGCGCCGGCGUCGGUUUUCCCCAACCCCACAGCCGUCGCACGCCGCGCCACUCCGCGCCCCCUCUUUGCUCCACCACGCAGCUUCCUCCUCCCUGCUCACCUCCGGCGCAGCUCGUCGUAGUGGAGAGCAUGAGCGGCAUGGUCUUCAUGGUGGGGUGGAGCUGCAGUGGAGGGAAGGAUGCUUGACGGAUCCGGCGCGUGCAGGCUGAAGCGGCAGGAGUUGGUGGAUACGGCGGAUGCGGACGGGGUCGUUGACGGGGGCUGGGAGCUCGAGUUGGUUCACGGUUUGCCUUUCCAUCCUCCCUGCCUCACUCAUGCCUCCCCCUUUUUUCAUUGACGACGGCUUUGGCUGCAGGGGCGCCAUGAGGAGUGGAAGGCCGAGGUCGUUCGACGGGUGGAGCAGCAGGAGCAAUGAGCCAAUGGUGGUCAAUGGCUAACCUCUACCUCCUCUCUCUCUGUGGUUAAGAAGGCCAAAUAGAAGAAGCAAAGGAAUGGCGCAAAAGUCUUGCCGAGGUGCCCCCUCCAAGGCCCAGAUUCUUCUGAGGUGACCCUAUUGCUCCCCUCAAACCUAGCACCUUCGAUGCUGUGUCAUCAUCAAUUUUGAUACAUACAGUUCUGGAAGCUUUAGGAUUGGUCAUUGCUUAUAACUGUUGUGGGUAACAUGACCUUGUUUACUCCCUACAAUCUUCAUUCACACGUCUUUGAUGUUUAUUUUGCUAUUAGAUGAUGAAAAUCUAAAGAACGGACACACAACCAGAAGUUUACAUAUUUUGUUUGCUGGUAAUGUGUCAUCGUCAUCUUUGUUAGCCAGACUUGUCGGUUGUCCUACUUAAUUCCCACCUUAUCACGUUGCUCUUGAUUUUUAAUCAUGCUUGGAGCUUUGGUCUGCAGCUAUACAAAAUCAUAUGCUUUGGCUCUAGAUUAGGGUAAUGUUGGAACUUGGGAGGGAGUAACUAAGCCAUACAUUUGGCUCUAGGAUUUUCAGUUUGUAUUUGCCGGAUGUAGAAACAGCUUUCUAUGAGAUAACGAGUUGACGACACACCACAUUCGGUUGACUGUUGAGGCGUAAAUGGCACCCGAGUGCUGUAGUAUGCAGUAGCGACCGGCGAGGCAUCAGGAUGUGGCGAGGCAAGGCUGUGGAGUUCAUGAGUUUUCAGGCUGCACGGGAUGCAAGUUAAUGGAUAUUAGGACGUACAAAUGACUGGUGCAUAAGCUCCUUCGACUAUUUGAUUAAAGAGAAGGCAUGGGUUGACGCUACCAAUAUAUGUGUUGGCUACAGAGGCAUAGAAAUAAUAAUCGAUGCCCAAUUCCGUCUCUGCAUUUAAAGGAUGACUGCUUCAUAGUUUAGCAGGCUUGCCUUGUGAUCAAACCUGACGAUGUGCAGCAUGGUGUGGGCACUGCCAUGGCAUGGCGAGGCACCCGCAAGGCACCACUUGCUUCCAUUCUGAGGUGGACUAGCGCUCGGAUAGUCACGCGGAUCUCCAAACCAGCACCCUCCCACGGCGCAGUUCCACCGUGUUGACCGGCGCUUCCUACACCAUGGAUCAAAUAAACAGCCGCCUCAGCAUAGCCAUCCAGAAUGCUCUCCUGCCUCCGUUCCCCCUCAGGUCCAUCGUCCUCUUUCUUUUCAGGACUGUUACCUGGAAUACAAAUGGCCAUUUAUUUGUUGUUAGUAAUUGCAUUUUUCAUUUGUUUUAGGCGUUCUUUACUUACACUGCUUGCUUUUUGUGAAUAAAGGCAUCUAUAUUAGCAGUCUGAUUUCAGAUUACACCGAGAUUAGAAAACUGAGAAUACCUCAAUAUGUUAUGUUGCAAUAAAAAAUAGAGGACAUUGGGGGGAUAGGUAGUCAUAUAUUUGGUCUUUGUCUCGGAAGAAGGGAAUUGCUUGGUCAACAAAUAUAUAUAAUCUGCGCCCUGUACAUAGUAUAGAUGCUAAAGAUAUGUGUUCGCUGGAAGUUGGUUUCAUGUUCUUAUUCUGACAGCAAGAAAACUAAACAAAUUGAUUGUUUGUAUAUUCAACAUAUGGUCCAUCUUAUGCAUACAAGGUUCUAUCUUGGCAUGGAUAUAACCUGCAACCAUAUGCACAGGAAGUGUGUAUGUUCUAAGAGGAGCACAACUUCAGAAGAGUAUUUUUUUUAUUUGAAGCGGUUUGAUUUUAUUCAAUCUGUUAGUAUAUCCGCAAGAUUGGCACAUUACUAGAUCUUUCUCAUUUCAGAUUCUUAUAUAUCCACGAGGGGGACAUUUAUUAACAGAGGGUGUUACUCUUGGUGGCUGUAUUGAUCUCCCGUGCCACCAAUCUGACCGAUGGCUCCACUUCGACUUCGUCAACUCCACUGACUAUCUCGACUACGUCAUACUGCAACCCCGAUGCCCACUGGUUAUGCAGUAACAUGCUUCUGAACACCAGGUUGCAACUCCAGCUUCGCCGACGAACUCGCUCAUUGCUCUAGAAGGUGCUUGGGCUUGUUUCUCUGACCGAUUGGCUGCGACAUCUCACAUGGAUCUUCACUGCCUCACAGACCUAUUUUUUAUUCUCUCGUCAAUUCUACAUGUCUGCUCGUCCAUUGCAUGGUGCUAGAUGGUCCCUGUUUAGUUAAUCCAAGGUAAAUCAUAUGCAUAACCAUGGAAUGGCACAUACUGGCCUCAGGUUGUACAAAUUCAUCGCAAGGCCGGGUCAGUCCGAAAGUUCAAAGGGGAAAAAAUCCAUUUGAAAGCUGGAAAAUACAUUACUCGCUGCAAGCCUGGUGAGCACUACGUAGAUGAGUUCGCUGCCCACUGUGUGUGUGGGAAAUACAGUUAAGUUGUAUAACAAAAAUAUUCGCAAUCUGUGAAAUAUCAUCAAAGACAAGAAAACACCUGACCAUUACUAUGUAUGCCACAUGACAGAAACAUUUUCUGCUGACGGCAAAAGAAUGUACUUUAGCACACACUUUUCUAAGAGAAGUCUCUUCCCGCACAUGGAUGCUGAUGAUGAGCUACCAAUCAGUGCAGGAGACGGGACCAUCAGUGUCAUGGCCCUCUUUAUCAUGGGCAUCGACAACAGGGCUACACUCACAAAGAACUGGAGCAGCUUCUUCCAUAAGGCAAACAUGAAGAAAGGAUGUGCAUAUGCUUUCGCCUUCAAGUGCGCGUCCAAGGGCCUCUGCAUGGUUGUCUAUCCAAUCUAAGCAGGUCACAAUAGUCCUUUGCUACAUAACUUGGUAUUACUAUAAGUACCGAUCGAGACUUAUAUCUGGCAUCAUUUUGGAUCUUAUGUAAGAAAAUUAUGAUAAUCCUGUCCCUAUGACUAUCAUCAAUCCGUACUUAUAUCCAUAUGUUUUCUUCUGUGUCUACAUA